GUUCCCUUAGUGUAUAAACACUUCUGCCUAUGUUCAGAGAAUGGGGGUCCGCCUCCAGGGGUCA